rnacentral:rRNA from 1 species
ACGGAAGGCAGCAGUGGGGAAUAUUGCACAAUGGGGGAAACCCUGAUGCGGCAACGCCGCGUGAGUGAUGACGGUCUUCGGAUUGUAAAGCUCUGUCUUUGGGGACGAUAAUGACGGUACCCAAGGAGGAAGCCACGGCUAACUACGUGCCAGCAGCCGCGGUAAUACGUAGGUGGCGAGCGUUGUCCGGAUUUACUGGGCGUAAAGGGAGCGUAGGCGGAUUUUUAAGUGGGAUGUGAAAUACCCGGGCUGAACCUGGGUGCUGCAUUCCAAACUGGGAAUCUAGAGUGCAGGAGGGGAGAGUGGAAUUCCUAGUGUAGCGGUGAAAUGCGUAGAGAUUAGGAAGAACACCAGUGGCGAAGGCGACUCUCUGGACUGUAACUGACGCUGAGGCUCGAAAGCGUGGGGAGCAAACAGGAUUAGAUACCCUGGUA